UGUCGCAUUAAAACUAUUUGUGACUGGAUCCAAGCUUUGUUUUUGGCUUCGUUCGUGGUCCCAUCCGUUUUUUGUUUAAUAUUGUGUCUCUAUGAGACGUCAGCAAUUUCACUAGCUUGUCUUUUUCUUCUGCAAGAAAGGUUUAUCCUCGUUUUCUCUUCUCUGCCAAAAUAAACUUAUCUAUUCAACAAUAAUAAACCCAAAAUUAACCUCACUCUAUGUACACAUA
rnacentral:lncRNA from 1 species